rnacentral:tRNA from 1 species
GCUCCCGUAGCUCAACGGAUAGAGCAGCUCACUCCUAACGAGCAGAUAGGGGUUCAAUUCCUCUCGGGGGCACAA